ACUCCUACGGGAGGCAGCAGUGAGGAAUAUUCUGCAAUGAGCGCAAGCUUGACAGAGCAUUGUCACGUGAAGGAAGAAAGCUUUAAUAAGUUGUAAACUUCUUUUAUUUAAAAUGAAUAUUGACAUUUUAAAAGAAAAAGUAUCGGCAAACUCCGUGCCAGCAGCCGCGGUAAU
rnacentral:rRNA from 1 species